AGUUUGAUCCUGGCUCAGGAUGAACGCUGGCGGCGUGCUUAACACAUGCAAGUCGAACGAAGCACUUUAUUUGAUUUCCUUCGGGACUGAUUAUUUUGUGACUGAGUGGCGGACGGGUGAGUAACGCGUGGGUAACCUGCCUUGUACAGGGGGAUAACAGUUGGAAACGGCUGCUAAUACCGCAUAAGCGCACAGCAUCGCAUGAUGCAGUGUGAAAAACUCCGGUGGUAUAAGAUGGACCCGCGUUGGAUUAGCUAGUUGGUGAGGUAACGGCCCACCAAGUCGACGAUCGGUAGCCGGACUGAGAGGUUGAACGGCCACAUUGGGACUGAGACACGGCCCAGACUCCUACGGGAGGCAGCAGUGAGGGAUAUUGGUCAAUGGGGGAAACCCUGAACCAGCAACGCCGCGUGAGGGAUGACGGCCUUCGGGUUGUAAACCUCUGUCCUCUGUGAAGAUAAUGACGGUAGCAGAGGAGGAAGCUCCGGCUAACUACGUGCCAGCAGCCGCGGUAAUACGUAGGGAGCAAGCGUUGUCCGGAUUUACUGGGUGUAAAGGGUGCGUAGGCGGUUCGGCAAGUCAGAAGUGAAAUCCAUGGGCUUAACCCAUGAACUGCUUUUGAAACUGUCGAACUUGAGUGAAGUAGAGGUAGGCGGAAUUCCCGGUGUAGCGGUGAAAUGCGUAGAGAUCGGGAGGAACACCAGUGGCGAAGGCGGCCUACUGGGCACCAACUGACGCUGAGGCUCGAAAGUGUGGGUAGCAAACAGGAUUAGAUACCCUGGUAGUCCACACCGUAAACGAUGAUUACUAGGUGUUGGAGGAUUGACCCCUUCAGUGCCGCAGUUAACACAAUAAGUAAUCCACCUGGGGAGUACGACCGCAAGGUUGAAACUCAAAGGAAUUGACGGGGGCCCGCACAAGCAGUGGAGUAUGUGGUUUAAUUCGACGCAACGCGAAGAACCUUACCAAGUCUUGACAUCCCUUGACGAACAUAGAAAUAUGUUUUCUCUUCGGAGCAAGGAGACAGGUGGUGCAUGGUUGUCGUCAGCUCGUGUCGUGAGAUGUUGGGUUAAGUCCCGCAACGAGCGCAACCCUUACUGUCAGUUACUACGCAAGAGGACUCUGGCAGGACUGCCGUUGACAAAACGGAGGAAGGUGGGGAUGACGUCAAAUCAUCAUGCCCUUUAUGACUUGGGCUACACACGUACUACAAUGGCGUUAAACAAAGAGAAGCAAGACCGCGAGGUGGAGCAAAACUCAGAAACAACGUCCCAGUUCGGACUGCAGGCUGCAACUCGCCUGCACGAAGUCGGAAUUGCUAGUAAUCGUGGAUCAGCAUGCCACGGUGAAUACGUUCCCGGGCCUUGCACACACCGCCCGUCA
rnacentral:rRNA from 1 species